UACGUAGGGUGCGAGCGUUAAUCGGAAUUACUGGGCGUAAAGCGUGCGCAGGCGGUUCGUUGUGUCUGAUGUGAAAGCCCCGGGCUCAACUUGGGAACGGCAUUGGAAACUGGCGAGCUAGAGUGUGGCAGAGGGGGGUGGAAUUCCGCGUGUAGCAGUGAAAUGCGUAGAGAUGCGGAGGAACACCGAUGGCGAAGGCAGCCCCCUGGGCCUGCACUGACGCUCAUGCACGAAAGCGUGGGGAGCAAACAGG
rnacentral:rRNA from 1 species